AAAAAUGUCGCAAUUGUAAUCUUGUCCAUUCACCUCUGUGUUAGUCUCCCUCGCAGACGUUUUUAUAGCUCUAACCCUCGCUAACUAACGUCUGCUGAAAUGAGCUGCACAUUCCAUUCCCUCCGAUCUACCAAUCACAGCGAACCUUCUAUAUUUCGGAAAGUGAUUUACGGGCGGAAUAAAUAGUACAUAAGUAUUUUUAUAU